rnacentral:rRNA from 1 species
GAAAGUCUGACGGAGCAACGCCGCGUGAGCGAUGAAGGCCUUCGGGUCGUAAAGCUCUGUUGUCAGGGAAGAACAAGUACCGGAGUAACUGCCGGUACCUUGACGGUACCUGACCAGAAAGCCACGGCUAACUACGUGCCAGCAGCCGCGGUAAUACGUAGGUGGCAAGCGUUGUCCGGAAUUAUUGGGCGUAAAGCGCGCGCAGGCGGUUCCUUAAGUCUGAUGUGAAAGCCCCCGGCUCAACCGGGGAGGGUCAUUGGAAACUGGGGAACUUGAGUGCAGAAGAGGAGAGCGGAAUUCCACGUGUAGCGGUGAAAUGCGUAGAGAUGUGGAGGAACACCAGUGGCGAAGGCGGCUCUCUGGUCUGUAACUGACGCUGAGGCGCGAAAGCGUGGGGAGCAAACAGGAUUAGAUACCCUGGUAGUCC